rnacentral:tRNA from 1 species
GGGUAUAAAAAAAAGAAGCUGCUAACUAUCUUUUAAGUGAUAAAUACACUAUAUCCUUAAU